UUCCUGUUGGUUCCUAAGUGCGAUGAUUGGGUUUUCACAUUCAUGUGUGACAUGUGCCUCCCUCAAAUCUUUGUGAUGAUGUCGGCACGUGACCCAUCUGACG
rnacentral:snoRNA from 1 species